GUGUCAGCAGCCGCGGUAAUACAGAGGGUGCGAGCGUUAAUCGGAUUUACUGGGCGUAAAGCGUGCGUAGGCGGCUUAUUAAGUCGGAUGUGAAAUCCCUGAGCUUAACUUGGGAACUGCAUUCGAUACUGGUGAGCUAGAGUAUGGGAGAGGAUGGUAGAAUUCCAGGUGUAGCGGUGAAAUGCGUAGAGAUCUGGAGGAAUACCGAUGGCGAAGGCAGCCAUCUGGCCUAAUACUGACGCUGAGGUACGAAAGCAUGGGGAGCAAACAGGAUUAGAAACCCCAGUAGUCC
rnacentral:rRNA from 1 species